rnacentral:rRNA from 1 species
GACGAACGCUGGCGGCGUGCUUAACGCAUGCAAGUCGAACGGAAAGGCCCUGCUUUUGUGGGGUGCUCGAGUGGCGAACGGGUGAGUAACACGUGAGUAACCUGCCCUUGACUUUGGGAUAACUUCAGGAAACUGGGGCUAAUACCGGAUAGGAGCUCCUGCUGCAUGGUGGGGGUUGGAAAGUUUCGGCGGUUGGGGAUGGACUCGCGGCUUAUCAGCUUGUUGGUGGGGUAGUGGCUUACCAAGGCUUUGACGGGUAGCCGGCCUGAGAGGGUGACCGGCCACAUUGGGACUGAGAUACGGCCCAGACUCCUACGGGAGGCAGCAGUGGGGAAUAUUGCACAAUGGGCGGAAGCCUGAUGCAGCAACGCCGCGUGCGGGAUGACGGCCUUCGGGUUGUAAACCGCUUUCGCCUGGGACGAAGCGUGAGUGACGGUAAUGGGUAAAGAAGCACCGGCUAACUACGUG